rnacentral:rRNA from 1 species
AAUGGGCGCAAGCCUGAUGCAGCGACGCCGCGUGAGGGAUGACGGCCUUCGGGUUGUAAACCUCUUUCGCCAGGGACGAAGCGCAAGUGACGGUACCUGGAGAAGAAGCACCGGCCAACUACGUGCCAGCAGCCGCAGUAAUACGUAGGGUGCGAGCGUUGUCCGGAAUUACUGGGCGUAAAGAGCUCGUAGGUGGUUUGUCGCGUUGUUCGUGAAAACUCACAGCUUAACUGUGGGCGUGCGGGCGAUACGGGCAGACUGGAGUACUGCAGGGGAGACUGGAAUUCCUGGUGUAGCGGUGGAAUGCGCAGAUAUCAGGAGGAACACCGGUGGCGAAGGCGGGUCUCUGGGCAGUAACUGACGCUGAGGAGCGAAAGCGUGGGGAGCGAACAGGAUU